rnacentral:rRNA from 1 species
AGAGUUUGAUCCUGGCUCAGAUUGAACGCUGGCGGCAUGCCUUACACAUGCAAGUCGAACGGUAACAGGGAGCUUGCUCCGCUGACGAGUGGCGAACGGGUGAGUAAUAUAUCGGAACGUGCCCUAGAGUGGGGGAUAACUAGUCGAAAGAUUAGCUAAUACCGCAUACGAUCUAAGGAUGAAAGUGGGGGCUCGCAAGGCCUCAUGCUCGUGGAGCGGCCGAUAUCUGAUUAGCUAGUUGGUAGGGUAAAAGCCUACCAAGGCAUCGAUCAGUAGCUGGUCUGAGAGGACGACCAGCCACACUGGGACUGAGACACGGCCAGACUCCUACGGGAGGCAGCAGUGGGGAAUUUUGGACAAUGGGCGCAAGCCUGAUCCAGCAAUGCCGCGUGAGUGAAGAAGGCCUUCGGGUUGUAAAGCUCUUUUGUCAGGGAAGAAACGAUCCGAUCUAAUACAUUGGGUUAAUGACGGUACCUGAAGAAUAAGCACCGGCUAACUACGUGCCAGCAGCCGCGGUAAUACGUAGGGUGCAAGCGUUAAUCGGAAUUACUGGGCGUAAAGCGUGCGCAGGCGGUUAUGUAAGACAGAUGUGAAAUGCCCGGGCUUAACCUGGGAACUGCAUUUGUGACUGCAUGGCUAGAGUGUGUCAGAGGGGGGUAGAAUUCCACGUGUAGCAGUGAAAUGCGUAGAUAUGUGGAGGAAUACCGAUGGCGAAGGCAGCCCCCUGGGAUAACACUGACGCUCAUGCACGAAAGCGUGGGGAGCAAACAGGAUUAGAUACCCUGGUAGUCCACGCCCUAAACGAUGUCUACUAGUUGUCGGGUCUUAAUUGACUUGGUAACGCAGCUAACGCGUGAAGUAGACCGCCUGGGGAGUACGGUCGCAAGAUUAAAACCCAAAGGAAUUGACGGGGACCCGCACAAGCGGUGGAUGAUGUGGAUUAAUUCGAUGCAACGCGAAAAACCUUACCUACCCUUGACAUGUCAGAGAGCUCGAAAAGAUUUGAGUGUGCUCGAAAGAGAAUCUGAACACAGGUGCUGCAUGGCUGUCGUCAGCUCGUGUCGUGAGAUGUUGGGUUAAGUCCCGCAACGAACGCAACCCUUGUCAUUAGUUGCUACGAAAGGGCACUCUAAUGGGACUGCCGGUGACAAACCGGAGGAAGGUGGGGAUGACGUCAAGUCCUCAUGGCCCUUAUGGGUAGGGCUUCACACGUCAUACAAUGGUACAUACAGAGGGCCGCCAACCCGCGAGGGGGAGCUAAUCCCAGAAAGUGUAUCGUAGUCCGGAUUGGAGUCUGCAACUCGACUCCAUGAAGUUGGAAUCGCUAGUAAUCGCGGAUCAGCAUGUCGCGGUGAAUACGUCCCCGGGUCUUGUACACACCGCCCGUCACACCAUGGGAGCGGGUUUUACCAGAAGUAGGUAGCCUAACCGUAAGGAGGGCGCUUACCACGGUAGGAUUCGUGACUGGGGUGAAGUCGUAACAAGGUA